rnacentral:rRNA from 1 species
GACGUAGGGCGCAAGCGUUGUCCGGAAUUAUUGGGCGUAAAGAGCUCGUAGGCGGCUUGUUGCGUCGACUGUGAAAACCCGUGGCUCAACCAUGUGGUCUGCAGUCGAUACGGGCAGGCUAGAAUUCGGUAGGGGAGACUGGAAUUCCUGGUGUAGCGGUGAAAUGCGCAGAUAUCAGGAAGAACACCAAUGGCGAAGGCAGCUCUCUGGGACGGUACUGACGCUGAGACGCGAAAGCGUGGGGAGCGAACAGG